CCUGACUAGGCGAAGCGGUCAGACGGGAGGUAAUAUCUGCGUGGCUUUUCAACAAUUGUGACAACUGGGGUACCCCAAAGGGCUGAAAAGUUACACCGUGGUCGCUUAAUUUCUGCUGGACAGGUCACCUGCAGGUUUGAGUCUUUCAUAGCCCUGUACUUCUCAUCAGUAUACGCUGAUCGGACCAUGCUGGCUGGCCUGGAUUACAACCACCGUGUCCACAGUCCAGCCAGGAGAAAAGCUGAUUACACAGUUCAGUACAGCAAGGUGUACAACAAAAAGUCCAGGAAGUGGAGCUUGUACUCAUUGAAGGUGGAGAAGGACUACAGCUACAUUGCAGACCUCCAGAGUCCUCCUACUCCGACAGUUGUCUGCUACUGAGGAGAUGCCUAGAAGCAGAAUCAGGAGACCUGAUGAUCCCAAUCAACGUGGGGUUCAGUCAGGUGUCCCUGCCCCAGCUGUGUUGCUAGAUACAGCAAAAUAUAAAACAAAAAGUAAU